AGUUGUUAUGUAAUCCAAGCAAUACCCCAAAUCUAUUUGUAAAACCAUCAAGCCCAGCUUUUAUGAUACUGUAACACCAUGCAUUUCAAUGUAGCACAGAUUGUGUGGAUUUGGCAACAAAAAAACUGAAAAAGAAAGAUAUUCCUUGCCUUUUCUUAUUUUAUUUUUCUUUCAUAUUAGGUUAAUGAGUUUCCUUAACUACUACUUCGAGUUAGCUUCACACAGCGAUCAGGAUGCUGACAAAAAAAAAAAAAGUCUUAUUUUUCACUCGCAUCCUCAUCCCACCUCCGUCUCUUGUCGUCACUGGAACCGUGCUGCCAUUCUCAUCUCCAGUCGAACCAGAGCAACAGUGUAAUCCUCCUCCCUACAUCCUCUUUACCCAUCAGUCACUGUGAUAUGUACAUAUGACUGUGAGCGUGAGUCUGUGUUUGUCGAAGAGCAAAAGAGUCGGAGCGUACGUGUCUCUGUACAGCAUCUGAAAGCGUGUGCCUGCGUGUCGUGCGCCCGCCCGCUAAUCCUCGACACUGGGUCAGCGUCUGAAUGAGUAUACACUUAUUUGUGGUUUUGGCUUGUACAGUGAUAUUGCAUGUUUGUUUUCAGUGAAGCUGGUUUCAAUUAAAAAAAAAAAAGAAACGCACAUAAAAAAAAACAUCAAGUUGUGUUGCAUGGAUUUUUCUUUCAUCGCCUUUCCCGAUCUACCGUACUUCUCUCUCGGUGUCUCAUAUCAAUCAGAGAUGAUUUUUGUUGUCGUUUAUAAGCACACUGUCGGUUUGCUCCGGGGGAGCUUUGUUCAGUCAUCAUCAGUUUUUCCUCUGUUUUUUUUUUUUUUUUUUUGAAGUCUUUCAUGUUCUCUAAAUUCAAAAGUUCUCAUUUUAAGCGACUCCACCCCAACUUGGCCGCUUAGGAGAGAAGCAAAACGACACAUCCAUGGAUUGGGGUUGCUAUAAUAUAUUAUGUUUUUGGUCUUUCUUUCCUAUAAGCCAUUUCCCACUGAAACACAGUAAUGGGAUAUUGAUUUAGUUCAGACAAAGAAUGGAGCUUCUUUUUCAGAGAGGAAGGCCUGAGCCCAGGGAGCGAAAAGAUGAAAAGUAUGUGGGAAAGGGCGGCCACAGUGAACCUUUUUAGAUGUUGUUAAACACGUUUAAAUGUGUAAUUAGGAUAAAGCCAGAUUGGAUUCAGAAACCAUUAGUAUGCUCCGAAUCAAUCAAAAGAGUGAAUUGUUUUCCUUUUCAGGGAGCUAUCUAUGUUAGACUGAAAAGAAAUUACUAUGGGAACUCUGUUUACGCCUCAUGAUUCAGAACUGAUGAGAAUCAACAAAAAAAAUUUGACAGUUUCAUUAAAAAAUAAGUCAUAAAUCCACAAACAAACUUCAUUAAAACACUACUUUUAACCCAACAAUUUACAUAUUAAAAUAAUACUGUAUGAAACUUAUGGGUUACUCUGAAGCUCGUAAGAGUGUACCUAAAAUGAAUUAAAGAAUGACGAUUAAAAACCCAAGCUGACAGGCUGGGCAAAGACUCUAACUCUUGAAGAGCUGCUGAGAUUUGUAUUUCUGGGUUCUGGAUUUAACGGAAGAACUACUUGAAUGGAAGAGCGGCAAGAGGAAAGCCAUUUCCAACCUGGAAACCUCCAGUUAAGGUGCUUUGGUCAUACGAAAACACAAGGAAACUUUCUGGCCCUCUUGCAAAACACGUUGUGGAGGAGAAUUAACAUUACACCUCAACUUUGAGACAUCACCUCUGUAAAACACGGUUGCGGCAGCAGCAGGCUGUGGGAAAGCUUUUCUUCAGCAGGUAAAAGGAAGCUGGUUGGAGUCGAUAAAGACGGAUGGCACUAAAUAUACAGCGCAAUAAUGGAGAGAUAAUAAACUCUUUAAGGGUCCUAAAGGCUUGAGACUGGGGCAAGGUUUACCUCUACAUCUUUCCAGAACACACAGCCAAAGAUACAGUAGAUCAAAGCAUGCAUUAAAAAUGAACAAUCCAACCAAGAACUUUCGUCAUAAAUAUUAAAACUGAGGGUCAUACAUGAUUUCUGUCCAUUCUAAUCUUGAGAGAUUGUACAAAGACUGAUGGUAGAGAGCCACGUUAUUCUCGUAUCACUUUACAAUGAAGUUAUUUGUUUUUAGGGUUUAAAAAACUCAUGGUUCUCAUGAAGGCGUAUCAUUCCGACGCGUGAGGUCAAAUUCCCAGCGAAGAACUGCUGGUUAUCGGCGCAGUGCAAUGACGUCAUAUUAAUGAGAUGACGCCUGUCAAGUUCACUGUGAGCGUGUCAGACGGAAAACACCCAAUAUGUCGACAUAUGAAUUGCAGCAAUAUUCUUUUAGGAAAAACUAUUUAAUAUGCAGUCUCUGCCGCUCCAUUAGUAUACUUUUGAGAUUUUACGUGUUUUUCAAGAGAACCAACUCUCAAGGUGAAGUAAGUUGAAGUGGAUUAAACAAACGGAACGUCAAUUGGAGGCUAAGCUACUGGGUGAAACCCGUCCGCUGGACCACAGUCGUCCUCCCGCUGCGCCUAUUGUCUCUUGUGCAUCCCCAGCCUGUUCUUUUUCUCAUUUCACCCUACAUGCUCCCCAUACUGCAGCAAUAACCUGCCUCUCCCCUGAGAUUUGGACGUUAGGAAGAGACGUACAGCUCACCCCCCAGGAUUUCUCAUUACCGUCUUCAUCUGUUGUUUGUCUGACACGAGCAAACAAAAAGCUGCUGAAUGUCUUCGUCUGU